CUUCCUGCAUUGUGAGUUGUGGUUGUGGUUACGUCGGGUCUUUGAUAGCAAGAAGGCAAUAAUGUCCGAAAAAACGGAGGUCAACCUGACAGGAGUCAAACAAAGUCAAGGAGUGUGGUUAGUCAAGGUUCCUAAGUAUUUAUCUCAGCAGUGGGACAAGGCUACAGGAGAAGUUGGAAAGAUCUCCAUUAAUAAAAAACAAGGAAAGACAGAGGUGCAUUUCAGUCUAAAUGCAGAGCUGAGUGCCCCGGCCGCUGCAGAGGAGAAGGAAGGAUUGCCGCAGGUGCCAAGAGAUCAUCCCUUCACCAUGCACUCAGUGGGUGGACAGACCUUGGCUGUUUUCAGCCAGAGUAACACAGAUGGGAUCAGUCUGGAGGGGAUGGUGGUUCACAGAGCCGAGUGCAGACCGGUCGUCAACGACAACUACAUGAAGCUGAAGAAGUUGCAGAUUAAAGAAUCCACCAAACCUCAGCGUUUAUCACAGCAGCUGGAGAGAGCGGUCACUACUGUCUUCAAGCCAGUGGCCAACCACGAUUUCAAUCUGGAGUACGAGAAGAAAAAGAAAUCUGAGGGGAAGAUGGUGCGGGCUGAGCGUCAGGUGGUGUUGGACAUGCUCUUCUCCGCUUUUGAGAAGCACCAGUAUUACAACAUUAAAGACCUCGUGGACAUCACCAAACAACCAGUGACCUACCUCAAAGAAAUCAUGAGGGAAAUCGGGACGUACAACAGCAAAGGAGCUCAUAAGAGCACCUGGGAGCUGAAGCCGGAGUAUCGACACUAUCAGUCGGCCGAGGAAGAGGAGGAGAGGAAGAGCAGCUAGUCACAGCAACGGCCUCCUCGCUGGAGACUCUUCAUCUCCACCUCGGAGUUUUGGAGCUGGUUUAUGUUGGUGAGACACUCGGGUGCCUUUGGUUAAAGUAGCCACUCGAGAUGAAGCGCAUUAUUUUCCUUGGUGUUUUUUGGGACACAAAAUGAAAACUACCUCCACAGUGUUCAGCAAAAAACUGGCAACGUGACCAGAUGAUUCCAGGAGGAAAAUCUGGCCGCAGUCUGUAAUGACCAGCUUCUUUGUGGGCGGGCCUCCUUUGGUGCCCAGCUCCCCCAUCUGCUGCACCACGUCCAUGCCGUCUCGCACCCAGCCAAAAGCCACGUGUUUGAAGUCCAGGUGCUCGGCCG